rnacentral:rRNA from 1 species
CUCCUCCCGUUCAUUCAGCUGGUCAGACGGUCGACGCAGAACCUCAAUGCUCUAGGAAUCACCUCACUUGUUGAUCGGUGGAGGACGGAGAUGCACUAUUUCCAUCUUCGGGCCGGGUAGAUGACCGUGACGCUUCAGGAUGUUUGCAUGAUCACCGCACUUCCUAUCUAGGGAAAGCCUCUUUGUAUGAGCACCGAUUCUGAUGGGUGGCGCCAGCAGAUGGAGGCCCUUACCGGUAUGGCUCCUGCAGAGGGUCUGGUAGAUGGAAAGAAGAAGGAACGAGUCGCAGCCGGCGUGUCGAGACCCCGAUCCUAA